rnacentral:rRNA from 1 species
AUUGAACGCUGGCGGCAGUCCUAACACAUGCAAGUCGAGCGAGCGGCGGACGGGUGAGUAAUGUCUGGUAAACUGCCUGAUGGAGGGGGAUAACUACUGGAAACGGUAGCUCAUACCGCAUACCCUCAGAUGUGCCUAGUUGGUAUUAGCUAGUGGUUGGGGUAACGGCUCACCUAGGCGACGAUACAUAGCCGACCUGAGGGGGUGAUCGGCCACACGGGGACUGAGACACGGUCCAGAAUCCUACGGGGUGCAGCAGUGGGGAAUAUUGCACAAGGGGAGGAAGCCUGAUGCAGCCAUGCCGCGUGUAUGAAGAAGGCCUUCGGGUUGUAAAGUACUUUCAUCGGGGAGGCGUUACCCGCAGAAGAAGCACCGGCUAAAUCCGUGCCAGCAGCCGCGGUAAUAC